GUUUGAUAAAAACAAUCUGUCAAAUUCUUACCAAAGAUGUGACAGGCAUGUAUCGACAACGCUGGCAGCUGGGAAUCGUAAGGCAGUUGGAGGAUCAAAAUGCUGGUGUCCCAAUGGAUUUUGGUGUCGAGCAGUGGAACGAAGACUGGAAAAAAACAGUGGCUCUUCCAACAACACCAAGUUUUUACUGUCUUGAGGAGAUUCAUAUAUUUGCCUUAGCUAAUAUUCUUCAAAGACCAAUUCUGGUAAUAUGUGCCAAUUUUAAUCGUGGUGACUUCGUACAUUCAUCAAAUUUCUGCACUUAACUGAUAAUUUUUCUUCAUAUAUAAUGUUAACAACGAUUACAAAUACUCAAUUUAUCGUAAUGGCUCCAUAAUCAAAGGUGCUAUUUCAAUGCUAAACCCUCAGCCCUUCGUUACAACACUUGCAAAACAC